rnacentral:lncRNA from 1 species
UGUUUCUUGCUCUCCGUGUAGUAAUUAUAUAUACUAAUAAGUAAUUUCGUUUUCCUUUGGGGAUUGCCCCAUAUAUAUUAGUUAAGUCCGAGUCCCAGUGCCGGCGAUAAUAGCUGGGCUAAUUGGGAUGAUUUGAUUGACAGAAAUCUUCCUGACUUGUUAUUGUUGUUUCCCACUGAAAACCCCAACCAAAAGCUCUGCCUGCUUUUUCACUCUGUCAUGUGCGGAUAUAGAUUCUCCCAUACUUUGCUCUGCUACAAGAUAAAAAAAAAAUUGGGAAAAGGAAAGAAAAUUCCAAAUAGAAAAAGGACAAGAAGACAAUACUAAAAACUUUUGUGAGCACUUGUUUAUGAUGAUCAGUUAUAUAUAAAAGAGUAUUACACUAGAUCUGGAUGGCAUCAUCUAUCUAUGUUUAUAUAUAUUAAUCAUACCUUGAAAGCCAUAUGAGCAAGGCUGACAGAAGCAUGCAUCACAUUUCAUGGAU